rnacentral:misc_RNA from 1 species
GAACGCACCUUGCGCUCCUUGGUAUUCCGAGGAGCAUGCCUGUUUGAGUGUCGUUGAAUUCUCAGAACCCUCCUCACAGGUGGGUUUGGAUUGGUGGAGGAUGCAUUGGACUUUGCUUUGCUUCUCUGAAAUGGAUCGGCCUUACGGCUGCGCCACGAACCUUGUCGUCGGUAUGAUAAUUGUCUUACCUGCUUCUAACCUCUGGCAGCCCGGCCCAGACGAGACUAUCGUCUCUAUCUAUCUACAAUUUGACCUCAAAUCAGGCAGGACUACCCGCUGAACUUAAG